UGGGAGGAUCACUUGAGCCCAGGAAUUUGAGACCAGUCUGGGCAACAAAGUGAGACCUCAU
rfam:Gorilla gorilla gorilla genomic chromosome, chr16, whole genome shotgun sequence